AGAGUUUGAUCCUGGCUCAGAAUCAACGCUGGCGGCGUGCCUAACACAUGCAAGUCGAACGAGAAAGUGGAGCAAUCCAUGAGUAAAGUGGCGACCGGGUGAGUAACACGUGACUAACCUACCCUCGAGUGGGGAAUAACUCCGGGAAACCGGAGCUAAUACCGCAUAACAUCUUCGGAGCGCAAGCUCUGUUGAUCAAAGGAGCAAUUCGCUUGAGGAGGGAGUCGCGGCUGAUUAGCUAGUUGGCGGGGUAAUGGCCCACCAAGGCUUAGAUCGGUAGCCGGCCUGAGAGGGCGCACGGCCACACUGGAACUGAAACACGGUCCAGACUCCUACGGGAGGCAGCAGUGGGGAAUUUUGCGCAAUGGGGGAAACCCUGACGCAGCAACGCCGCGUGGAGGAUGAAGUCCCUUGGGAUGUAAACUCCUUUCGACCGGGAAGAUGAUGACGGUACCGGUGGAAGAAGCACCGGCUAACUCUGUGCCAGCAGCCGCGGUA
rnacentral:rRNA from 1 species